GACGUAGGAGGCGAGCGUUGUCCGGAUUCAUUGGGCGUAAAGAGCACGCAGGCGGUUUGGCAAGUCGGAUGUGAAAACCCGAAGCUCAACUUCGGGCCUGCAUCCGAAACUGCCCGACUAGAGGUAGGUAGGGGAGAUCGGAAUUCCUGGUGUAGCGGUGAAAUGCGUAGAGAUCGGGAGGAACACCGGCGGCGAAGGCGGCUGCCUGGACCAGUCCUGACGCUGAGGCGCGAAAGCUAGGGGAGCAAACAGG
rnacentral:rRNA from 1 species